rnacentral:lncRNA from 1 species
AGCGCUAGGAGAAGAGCUAUGCCUGUCAAAAUAUAGGGAGAAUUAUGGCAAAAUGAAAUAACUCCGCCACUUUCCAUCGACAGUCCGCUCGAUGAAGCUAGGACAGAGCCACCCAACUGUCUGUGCCUCAUGGGGCCAUGCAAUCUGCAUGUCACCCAUGAUGCUGGACCCACAAUAAUUCAAUGAUCUGAUCUGACAAGACCAAAUGUUGGCCAAUGCCAUUCAACAUCUAUAGUAGACUAUGGAGCAGCGGCAACCUUCGCAACCUGCUCUCCAAACUGUGCCCUCCAGCCACAACCAUUAGAACCACUCUCUUGUUCUUGAGAACUCCCCUU